GACGAACGCUGGCGGCGUGCCUAAUACAUGCAAGUUGAACGCAUUAUCUUUGUACUUGUCUUGACUGGAUGAGCGGCGAACGGUUGAGUAAGGCGGGGGAACACUUCCGUAAACUGGGGGACAACGGGUGGAAACGAUUGCUAAUAGCUCAUAAUACCUCAUAAUACAAUUUACAAGAUUGAAAGAUGCAAUUACGUCACUCAGAGAUAAUCCCGCGUUGUAUUAGCUAGUAGGUGGGGUAAAGGCGCACCAAGGCGUUGAUACAUAGCCGACCUGAGAGGGUGAUCGGCCACACUGGGACUGAGACACGGCCCAGACUCCUACGGGAGGCAGCAGUAGGGAAUCUUCGGCAAUGGACGCAAGUCUGACCGAGCAACGCCGCGUGAGUGAAGAAGGUUUUCGGAUCGUAAAACUCUGUUGGUAGAGAAGAACGAUGAUGAGAGUGGAAAGCUCAUCCAGUGACGGUAUCUACCCAGAAAGACACGGCUAACUACGUG
rnacentral:rRNA from 1 species